rnacentral:rRNA from 1 species
CCUACGGGGGGCAGCAGUAGGGAAUCUUCCGCAAUGGACGAAAGUCUGACGGAGCAACGCCGCGUGAGCGAUGAAGGCCUUCGGGUCGUAAAGCUCUGUUGUUAGGGAAGAACACGUACGAGAGUCACUGCUCGUACCUUGACGGUACCUAACCAGAAAGCCACGGCUAACUACGUGCCAGCGGCCGUGGUAAUACGGAGGUGGCAAGCGUUGUCCGGAAUUAUUGGGCGUAAAGCGGGCGGAGGCGGUCACUUAAGCCUGAUGUGAAAGACCACGGCUCAGCUGUGGAGGGUCAUUGGUAACUGGGGGAGUAGAGUGCAGAAGAGGAGAGUGGAACUCCACGUGUGGCGGUGAGAUGCGUAGAGAUGUGGAGGAUCACCAGUUGCGAAGGCGGCUCUCUGGACUGUAACUGACGCUGAGGCACGAAAGCGUGGGGAGCGAACGGGAUUAGAUACCAUUGUAGGC